rnacentral:lncRNA from 1 species
GCAAACGGAGAGGAUAUUAGAUUCAUCACGGAGAUCAUAGGAAAAAUAGAACAUAAAAUACAGAAGAAAAAUGCAAAGCAAAAACGGUGGCUAGUAAGUGGAUCCAACAUCGAAAAAGAAAAUAGUAAGAUAUGACAUUGCCCCUAGCUCUCUUAGACAAAAUCCUAAUGGACUAGGCUCAUAAAGGUACAAAGUAACGCAAGACUCAACUACCUCCUAGCCUACAUCGGUAAUACUCGACCUCCACAACGUCCUAUCAAGUGUCAUAUCCUCGAAAAUCUGAAGUCUCGCCAUAUCCUAUCUGAUCACCUCUGCCUAAUACUUCUUAGGCUGCCCUCUACCUCUUCUCUUGCCUUCCACAAUUAGCCGCUCAAACUUUCUUACAGGAGCAUCUGAG